rnacentral:rRNA from 1 species
UGCACAAUGGGCGGAAGCCUGAUGCACGACGCCACGUGACGGAUGAAGUCUUCGGGUUGUAAACCUCUUUCAGCAGGGACGAAGCGUGAGUGACGGUACCUGCAGAAGAAGCACCGGCUAACUACGUGCCAGCAGCCGCGGUAAUACGUAGGGUGCGAGCGUUGUCCGGAAUUACUGGGCGUAAAGAGUUCGUAGGCGGUUUGUCGCGUCGUUUGUGAAAACCCGGGGCUCAACUUCGGGCUUGCAGGCGAUACGGGCAGACUUGAGUGUUUCAGGGGAGACUGGAAUUCCUGGUGUAGCGGUGAAAUGCGCAGAUAUCAGGAGGAACACCGGUGGCGAAGGCGGGUCUCUGGGAAACAACUGACGCUGAGGAACGAAAGCGUGGGUAGCAAACAGGAUUAGAUACCCUGGUAGUCCACGWCGUAAACGGUGGGCGCUAGGUGUGGGUUCCUUCCACGGAAUCUGUGCCGUAGCUAACGUAUUAAGCGCCCCGACUGGGGAGUACGGCG